rnacentral:lncRNA from 1 species
UGCAAAGUAACUCUUUGAGCUCCUCUCUAAACAUUUGGAGUUGCACAGGGGGAUGUAUGAGAACCUGCAAAUCUGUGAAUUUCCAUAUUUACUUUGUGAAGUCUGACCUGAUACCACUAAGUAUGGGAAAACUAUGCAGCAGGCUGAGGAUAGUAAAUCACUUGCUUCUUUGGACACUCUGGCCUGUUUCAGCUAUGCACAGGUGAAACAAAACACCUGAUUGUGUCUGCUCUUGAAGACUUCUCUCGCACUGAAGCCAAUAGGAGGCAAAGGAAGAGUAAAGGUUUAGAGGGAUUUUGAAGUCUGCAAGACUGAAUGAGAAGUAGUUAUUUCCCAGGUAAAUCAAUGGAAAUUAAGAAGUUGAAUUGCUUAUAAACCUUUGGUAGAUAAGGUUCUGUGUGGUACUGCC